UACAGAGGGGGCAAGCGUUGUUCGGAAUUACUGGGCGUAAAGGGCGCGUAGGCGGCCUGCUAAGUCGGACGUGAAAUCCCCGGGCUCAACCCGGGAACUGCGUCCGAUACUGGCAGGCUUGAAUCCGGGAGAGGGAUGUGGAAUUCCAGGUGUAGCGGUGAAAUGCGUAGAUAUCUGGAGGAACACCGGUGGCGAAGGCGGCAUCCUGGACCGGUAUUGACGCUGAUGCGCGAAAGCCAGGGGAGCAAACGGG
rnacentral:rRNA from 1 species